rnacentral:lncRNA from 1 species
AUGCGGUGCUCCUGCACGUACGGCCCAGCCGGCCACGGCUGCGCUGGAGACGGCAGCCCGGGAGGGGGCCAGGGAGGUCGGUGCAGGAGGAYGCGGCACCCUGGCUGCCGAGGGCAGGUGAUGCACCAGUCACGCUGCGUCCCAUCCACCUGCGGCCUCGCGCAGAGCCCUUCCCGGGGCCGGCUGGGUUGGCUCAGCUCGGCUCGGCGGUCCCAGCACGCUUCCCGUCGGUGCCAGCUCUGCCGACUGAGCACAUUUUCAUCAGAGCUCAGCAGCGGUGCCAGCACCCCCGUGCCCAGGUUAGCGUGCAUGCGGACAUGCCUGUGUGCGGCGCAGCACGGCAUGGCAGGGGGAUGCACCAGGGUGCAURGGUGCGCCCUGUCCUCCGGCUCCGCACCCCUCGGGCAGGUCCCUGCUCCGUGGGYGCGUGGGGCUCAUGUGGUCCCGGGGUGGCUCUGUGCUGGCGGGGGCCCAGGGGCACACUGCUGCUCUGGCACGGAUUCRGUGCCAACGUCCCAAGCACCAAGUGGCCCGAGGCAGUGCUCCAUGGAGAGCUGCGGAGCAGGUCCUGGGCCCCCCACCGCCUCCCAGAGCUGGCUGUGCCAUGCCAUGUUGUGCCAUGCUGUGCUGUGCCAUGCCAUGCCAUGCCAUGUUGUGCCAUGCCGUGCCAUGUCGUGCCAUGCUGUGCCAUGCCGUGCUGCGCCGUGCUGUGCCAGUGGGCUGUGCCGCUGCCCCGCACCCAGCGACUCCCUGCCCUUGCAGAUCCCCAGCUCAGUCUGGCUUUGUGGAGCCGCUGCCUCCUUGCUGCUGGUGCCAACAGCUCACGUCUGUCUCCAGCACYGUCGUGCCGGCUUCCACCAGGCCAGCUCUCCACAGCCCGAACUGGCGCCAAGCUCCUCUCCCCCGUUAGCUGCUCCUCUGAUCCACAGGCAGAAGGCAACUUGCUGGCCAAGCUCUCCUGGAAGAGCUGAGCUUGUCGCUGGCUCUCGUCCAUGCUUAGAGCAAUUUAAUAUCAGCGGCAGGAGGGGAUGGGGAAUCGGUUUUGAUCGCUGUCGCCCCUUCCAGCCACAGCCGCAGGCGCGCGGUGCCGUGCGGUGA